UCCUUCUUCUCAGCUCAAACCCAAACGCCAAUCCGAUUCUCCCUUUCGAGGUGUCCGGAAACGCAGCUGGGGCCGGUACGUUUCAGAAAUUCGCCUUCCGGGUAAGAAGACCCGGGUCUGGCUGGGAUCUUUCGGGUCGCCGGAGAUGGCCGCUCGGGCCUACGACGCCGCUGCGUUCUUCCUCAGGGGCGACUCGGCCUGCCUCAACUUCCCCGAAUCGGCCGAGUCGCUGCCCCGCCCAGAGUCGUCUUCUAGAAGGGACAUCCAGGUGGCUGCUGCAAAGGCGGCAGCGGAAAACUCUGCUGCUGGAACGGAUACCAGCGCUGGGGUUCGGGACCUGAGCUUGGAGGACUGGUGUGGGUUUGAGGUUGGUGAUGAAACGACGCCAUUUGGAGGGCCGGUACACAGUCCUCUCAGUUUUGAGUCGUUUGAGUGCUUGUUUGAUGAUGUAACGACGUCGUUUGGCGAUGAAGUUACGUUUACUAACUACCCCUGGUAAUUUUCACAAUCGAGUGGAUGAAGCUGAGCUUGUGGUGGUUAAUGUGUAUAUAUAUGUAAAUGGAAG
rnacentral:lncRNA from 1 species